UCAACGGUACUUUUCAGUACCACCAAAGUUUCGAACAAAGAGCAUU
rfam:Danio rerio chromosome 12, GRCz11 reference primary assembly.